GGAGACGUUAAAGCUGAAAGGAAUGGAGA
rnacentral:piRNA from 2 species